ensembl:lncRNA
UGCAAGCAGAUGAGCAGGGGCUGCCUGAAAUUUGCUCAGCUAUGCUGCAGUGCACGUGGAGGGGGCUCACGUUUCACCAGUGCUUGUAGCGUGGCUCACUCCAGGGAGAGGUUCCUCCACUUGUGAUGGAGCCUGGCAGCAAUGUUAUUACUGUAGUGGCCUGGAUUUGCAGCUUCACAUUCUUGUUGUCUCUCUCCUAAGGUGUGCUCAGAAUUUUAUUUUUUUUGCGCCUAACUUAGCAGAAAAAUAAUCAUGAGAAUUUAUACCACUACAAUUUCUGUUCCCAGAAGAACUGUAGCUGGCUCCAUUGCAAACUGAGUAAACAGCUGACGGGCAGGCCAUCGUCGCUGCUGGAGACAGCGAGACAAACACACGAGGGUCAAAUCCUGAGCGUUUCAGCAGUCACUCAUCAAAAUACCAUUUGACUUGAGCAGGAAGCUGGACUAAAUGUGAACGAUGGUGUUUGGCACAUGGUGGGUGUCCAGAUGGCCUAGUGUUAGGCACUGCCUUCUGAGGGUGGAUCCCACCCAAGUUAUUAUCAAGGAUUCUUGCAACAGCCACAGGAGAGAUUGACAAGUCAGAUCGCCUUCAUUAAGAGCCAAAUUUGGGUCUGCUAAAUCACCCUCUAAAUUUCAAGCAGAUGAAAGACGCUGGAGGAGGAGGAAGAUGGCAAGAAGCGUCGUUCACUGGAAUGCAUGUACUGGAACGCACGCUCACGUCUUCUGCUGGAGGGACCUCUGCCAAGGGAGAACAUCACUUCUGAGGAACUGCUGGUUCAAAUUGCCACUUAAUCUCUUCAAAUUGGCUUUCGUGUACACCCGUGGCACACGGACCUCAGCAGUCUGGUAAGUCUGAAAGUCUGCAUUGUUCUGUUGUCAGGUUCAGAGAAAGACGAAACAAAAAUGCUCAAGUCCAGGGUUGCCUCACUGCCAGUAAUUCCUUUUAAACUAGUUGCAGUAUGCACUCGCAGUGCUGAAGAAUAAUAUCCACUUAACAUGCUGUCAGUUAGAGAAAUGUGUGCCCUGCUUUUGAAGAUGUGAUGAUGUGCUGCUUUGUCUCAGGUGCAGAGCUCUGUGCAGUGCAGCCUGAGGAGAUGCUCUAAAACCUCACCUUGGCUGCACUGAAAAGUGUGGCAAGAGAUGCAGAAUAAUGCCUGACACCUCGAAUGGCAUGCAUCGGGGCUAUUACAUGAUGAAUGGCUGUGUCUUGGGAAUUGGAAGUCAUGGGUGAUAGUUUUAUGGGAGCAGACAAGACUUCUGGAUGUAUAAAGAAAGAAGGACAUAACUCUGAAUUUAUACAAGCCAUAUUUAUUGUAAAACCCUAAUGAAGGUUAAUGCUUUGACCCCAAGGAAGGUGGUGUGCAUUUGCAAUGAAGCUCUGGGAUGCCUCACUUGUUGAUGGCACACAGAAGCUUGGCAAAUUUGGACUGGGAGAUGGACAUUGUUAUAUGCCAGUGAGCAGCCUGGCUGCUGCCAUCACAGCGCUGGGACCUUGCAGAGUUCCCUGUGAAGGCUGUAUUUGUUUUCUCUUAUGACUUUGGUGUUGAUGAUGAACAAUGGCAUUCUACCAAAUGUGGCAGAUAUCACCUGUGGAUGACCUGUGUUUUGAGGAGGAAAACCCUCCCAAGCGUUGCUCUGGUCUGCAGUGAAGUUUCACUGAUAUGGAACUUCAGGUGCUUCGUCCCCUGGUUUGCUGAUUUGCUGCUACUUGCUGUUUCUGAUUUUCUUUCUACAACAAUGUAUUGGGAACACAGUAUAUGGCUUCUUGAAGGUUAGAACUGAGCAGACAAACCACUUCUGUGCAAAAGGGACUUCUGAUACACAGCAGUGUUGUAGACAUGGAAAAUAUGGUGUCUGUACAAACACAUGCACAUGCAAACACAUCAUUUAACGCUGCUGUGGCUUCAGAAGCACCCUGUGCCUCCCCAGAAGCCUUUCCAGAGGCAGCGGCUCAGUCCCGUUAUCUUGUGUUCUGCUGCAGAAGGGACAUUCACAGAAGAAGCCACAAGGAAAAUCCCAUCGUGAGCCCCAAAGACACCUUCAUCUCUGUGUCUAUGCAGCUCUAGCCUGUGGCUGCUCUGUGGCCGUCCUGAGCAUGCGAUGCUGGUGAGGUAUUUGAGCAUGCACUUGUGCAAUGCCUCUAGUUCCUCCCUGCGUGCCUCCACGCAGGCUGUGCUGUGAGUUUUACUUUUCUUGUUUAUUUUGGUUGUACCUGUAUGUUCUCCUGCAGAUUCAAAGCUCCGAAUAAGCUGCACCGACCGCCUGUCUUGGCAUGACUGUCUGCUGCUGAAUUUGCUGGAGAAAUUAGAACUUGUCUUGCAGAAGAUGGACUCACUGGUUUUAUUAAUAUUGCAAAAUAGCUAGCUUUGACAAGCAGCCAAGAGUGGAGCUAGUCCCUUUCCCAGCCACAGGUUGUCUCAUAGUGAACCCUUCUUUCACUUGGCAGUGCACUGCAAAUGUGAGAACCAUGCCUCCUCCUGCCAUAGCUCUCACGUUACCCUCAUCUCCACCACACUGUCCAACUCAGCUUAGCUGAGCGCGGAAGCUGCCUCCUCACCCAAGUAAGCACUGCUUACCCAGGUGUGCCCGGCUGGAUGAGGGAGGGGGACGCCCAACAUCCUGAUGGCAGACAGAUCCCACAGCAAACUGUGUCUGUCAUAGGAGGUGCGAUGAGCCACUUAUGUUGGCCAGAUGUCUCACGGUUGGUUGAGAUGACCCUUCCCCUCUCUCUGAAGGGACACAACUUGGCUUUUCUACAGCUCCAGGUAGAGGAAAAGCACCACUGGCUGCAAGAACUGGGUCCCGCAGCACUUGGCUCUCCAGCAGCAGCUCCAUACAGUCAUCACACGGAGAGUCGGGGAAAGCAGGACCUGUCUGGAUAAUAAGCCAUCAUUUCGUCCCAUGCUUAAAAGAAGCUCUCUGUGCUUUGAACAGGCCAAAUAACAUUUUCCCCCAUAAUUUUUUAACUUUGGGCACCUUUGCAAAUUACUCUCCUGGCUGGGAAGGAGCUCAGGAGUGCCAGAACACCAUGGGAAGAGGCUGCUCUGUGAUACUGCCAACCUGCGAAGGAGGAGGAAAUGCUGGAAAUCCCCUAAGCACGCCUGUUUUCUUGAGAUUCCCAACUCGAUUUUGCAAACUCAGAAGAUUUUAUAUAAUUUGGUUUAGUCGGUUCAGAGGUCUAAGGCACUUGGCUGUGCAUCUGGAUUGCAUCUUUGGGGUGGGUUAUCCAAAAAAGUACUCAGAACAGUAUGAAAUUCAUCCUUCGCUAGCAAAGCUGAAGGAAAACAAGAGCACGGGAAGGGAGUUUCUUCUCUCUGCUUGCUGUGCUGGACGCUGGGUGUGAACCUGUGAUCCGUGCCUCUGCCACCAGAUGCUGUGCCUUGUGCCAGCAGAGGAGACAUCAGCCCGCUGACCACCUGUCUUCAGAGCAAGAAAAAAAGGAAAAGAGAGAGAAUUUGAAAAUAAAUCUCUCAUCUGAUGUGCAAGUGCAGCAAGCACAGUGAUGACACACAAGCUACAGGGCUUUAUUCAGGCUUCCCUGUCUGAUAAUGUGGGCCUUAAAAACCCCUGACAUGAAAUGAUUCAGGUUGAAAAGUGCAAGUCAAUCCAAAACAGAAACAAAGAAACUUAGUGUUAACGGCCCUUUCAUUUUAUCACCAUAGAAAAGGGUUGCGUAUUGAUGCGACAGUGCCCACGGAAGCCCAGAGCCCAUCUGCAGGUGGUGCUAACCCAGAGCUGUCCCACAGCAUUGGCAGCCACCAGCACCUCGCGGGCUGGGCUGGGCUGGGCUCUGCCUGCAGGCGGCUGCGUUCGGCGGUGGGUGAAACGAGUCCUCUGUUUUGAUGGGCCAACUCUUCCCUUUAGAUGUCUGUGCUCACCUCCCAUUAACUUUGGUAUGAGCUGAGCUCAUGCUUCCAAGAGCGAAAUUUGGCUUAUAAUUUCUGCAUGCUUCGGGAUCCUUUGGGUACCAUAUAAAUGUAACAUGCUGUGAUUCAGUGCUAAAGAGCAGAGAAAAUUCAACCCCCCAGGAGAUACAGUGAGAGAAAAUCAUAUAGAACCUUUGUUUAAAAUAAUAAUGAAAAGAAAAAAGAAAGAUCAAGAAAAACAAUUGAGAUUCAUUCCAAAGCUGAGUUCAUUGCACAGCGAGGACAGAACGCACAUCCCUUAUCCAGCGAUAGCUUCUUUGACAUGGAUGAGUUAGGGCCCAUUGGACCAGGCCCCAGUUUUGAAGGCAUUAUUGAAAAUGUCUUACCUCCUAUAUUUCCUGUUUUUUAAUCAAACUCACUGUGCUGCCAGAGGUGUUUCAUUUACCAGGAGAGGGGUCAGCGAGGCAGCCACGAGCAACAGGAAAUAAAGCACCGUGCGGCCCCUCCCUGCCUGGACGCGGGCUGGGGCCAGCAGUGCUGAGCUCGGUGCUGUCUGCCUGUACCAUGGCAUCCUACAGCCAACGUGGGCACUGGGGGUCUGCCUGCUGGCUCUGCCAUGCAGCCCUGCGCCAACAGCGAACGGUGCAUACAUCCUCGAAUUUUAUUUUCUAUCUACUGCCGUAGUUUCUUGGCUUGUUGCAACUGUCAUAAAAUUACUUUAUUAUAUUUUCCCAUCUGUUAUGUUUUUGCUUCUUUAGAGGGGGAUGUUGCGUGAUGCUUAUAGUCUAAUUUAGCUUUAAACUUGUAUGGCUGUUGUUUAUGGAAAACGAACGUUGCAUUUGCAGAAUAACCUGUGGCUUUCCUGUAGAACCAAGGAGAAUGUCUGCAGGCAGCAAACAUGGAUGCAACCAGAUGGACAGGACUGCUCAUUGCCUCCUGCCCCAACUCCUCUGCUUUGAGUUGUGGCCUUGGCCAUGGCCAGUGGAGUUCUAAUUACUCAUUAAUUUAGCUAUCCUCCUGCAUUGCCCAGCUAAGGGCUCUCCAUCACCACUUUCACCACUGUUGAAGCCAUUCAUUCAGUCUUAGCUUGAACAACCUAAGUCUUAGAAUAAUUUGUUCUUUAACAAAAAGCGCAGAGAACAGAGCGCUGCUCUGCCCACCUGGCUUGUUUUCCGCUCUCCUCUUUGCCUCCAGUCUGACUGCUGGUUCUCAUGGUCUGCCUGAGCUGGAGAGUAAUCCCAUCCACUCCCCUGCUCACAUUGUUGGUUUUUUUUCCUGUAAUUUGUACUGCUAGUGUAUAUUAAAGAUUUUGUUCUGUUAAACUGUUGAGACUGUUAGAUGAAAUCCAGCAUUUAAUCUGGGAGUUUGGCGAUACCAAAGGAUUUCUGAACACACAAAAUCCUGCUCUAAGAAGAAAAAAGUGAAGUUUGAGAAUCCUAUUUAUGUACCUCCACUGAGUCUCUCCUUCCUGCCCUGAGUGUAUUACACUGUGCUUCUCAAACACAAUUUUAUCUCCAGGAGAGGAAGCAAUAACUGUUCUUAUCAGUGGACCAGAACCUACAUCAUGCACAUGGCAUGAGGCAAAGAAAUCCCAUGCACCUGCAACUGGCCACGACUUUGGCACAAACAGAAGCAGAGAGAGCACACGUGUAAGGAGCUGAGUCAAGGACUUUGAGCAACGAUGUGACUGCUGUCUAUCAGGAUCUUGUGAAUAACAAGGCAGCUGGGGUGUGACUUCAAAAUAUAACUGUGACAUUUGUGGACAUCAUAGGCAAUUAGUUGUUUUUCGAUUGCGGUUGUCUAACUGGAAAGUAUGGGUGAAGUUUCAGCCUCUACAACGGUCCAACUGUUUGACAUCAACAGUUUCGAAAAAGGGACUUUUACUGUAUAAAAUGAUUAUUCCUAUCUGUAGAUUGUAGUAAAAGAAAAAUCCAAGGCACGAUGUGAAACUGAUGCCUGAGUAGAGCUGUGCAAGAUCGCUUCGGUGGCAGCUCUCUUGGCUUCCACCUCUGUGCCAUCAGUGCUGCACUUCUUGUGGAUGCUGUCCUUCAGGAUUAAGAAGGAAUAAAGAGAAUCAGACACAGAAUCACUGCCUGUGCUGGAAUUCAGCUGGUGAAGACCUCAAAAUGAACUGGCAAGGAGGUUGCAUUUGAACUCUGCAGCCCCUAUGUUCAAUUCUUUAUUAACUUUUUCAAUAUGUUCUAUUACGGUCACAAUAUGGGAGCUAUCUUGCAGCUAAUUUAACACCUGUAAAUUCCCAUGGCUGGUAAUGAAACAUUGCAUAGACUAGUGGAUGAAGCAUUUGCUUCAUAUAUCUAAGGUCAUUAGUUCAGUACUCGUUAAUGCUGUAGCUUUUAUUAAAAUUUCUUUUAGUUUUGGUUUUCUUUUUGCAUCAGCCCCUUACAGGCUGAUUAAUUCUUCUCCUUCCCAAAGCUAAACACAAAACAUGAGCAUCUGACCCAGAGCACUGGGGCUAAACUCUGCACUGAAGUCUUGAAUUAUGCUGCCUGAGGUUAUCCUUUCAAAGCCUCCCCGGCUGCCAUGAGGGUGACAGUGUGACACCAGGGGACACGUCAUCGUGGCCAGGUCAUGGUGACACAAGUGACACUGCUGUUGGCACGUUCCGUUCCCUCUGCCCAGCCUGCGCUGUGUCAUCACUGCUGCGGCUGAGAAAAGCAGAGGCAGUGAGCUCCGGCCCUGCAGCUGGUGUUGCUGGAUGUUUUCUAUCCAACCUGACCCUUUCUCAACCCUGACAUGGGUUGGGUCCACCACAGUAGCCAACUUUUCAAAACACAACCAGCACAAAGCAACAUUAUCAUGAAAGUAAGCGGCUUCUGGAGAUGAAAUCACAUGAGCCGUGCAUCCAAAUGCGAUGCUGCAGCUUCUGGGAAACGCUGAGCGUGCGCUUCUUCACCUUGCAAGCUCUUGGCAUGCGUGCUGUUUAUCAAAAUAACAGCUCAUUGAAAUACAGCCCAAAGGACUGCCAGGAAGGUUGAAUGAAGCACUGUUGUUUCCAGCACACCACGGUCUCCAUUGGUUUCUCCAGAGGAGGGAAGUGCGUGGGCUCCAGGAACGCACCCCAUGCCCAAAGCCCACCUGGUUCUGCCUGCACGUGGAGCUGCCAUGGGACUGCGCCUCGGCCAGAUCUGGACAUUGCUUUGUUAGCAAAGUGCCACCUGCCAGGAGUCUGCCCCUGGGGCAUCAUUCUGGUCAUCCACAGGGAAAAGAAAUGCUGGAUGUACUCCUGACACCAUUAAUUUGAUCUGUAAACAAGCUAUGCUUUUUAUUAACAACUUCAUGCUGCAGAAUGUUAUAAGGUAUGUGCUUCUUUGUAAGAAACGCAUGCUGUUUUAUAUUCAUAUCCGUGCCUGCCUUAUAGCUGGCUUUGUGACGCUACUCAUUAAUUCAGGAUUGAAAUGUCUUUCUCACUCUAUGACAUUUAGGUGCCUGAUAUUUUUUACAAAGCUUAUUAAAACUCAGAUUUGUACUUCAUCA